rnacentral:misc_RNA from 1 species
AAGUCGUAACAAGGUUUCCGUAGGUGAACCUGCGGAAGGAUCAUUUACACGUUCCAAAACGUAUCAACCAAACGGUUAAGUGCAAACUUAUUCCCUCAUACAGGGAGCUGUUCAUCUGAAUCUAGUGAUGUGUAAGUCUUCGGGCUUACAGAAUCAGAUGAGCUAGGGUCUCGAGCCCAAAGUUCCUUAUGUGAGGCUUUCCUUUUUUUUUCCCAUCACUUCCAACACACUAAUUUCACCCCUUUAAACCAUUUGACUAAAUCUUUCGAACGAAGAAAUUUGUUUGGAAUUGUAUAUCUAACACUGUACAACUCUUAGCAAUGGAUAUCUUGGUUCUC